AAAAAAUCCAUUCCAAUUGCCAUUUCACUCUUGUUCUAGAUACUUCUUUGGAGUUCCUCUCCAUCACCAAUGGCGUCCGAUCUGGAGACUAGGGCUAAAGAGGCAUUCAUUGACGACCACUUUGAACUCGCCGUUGACCUGUACACUCAAGCCAUAACGCUGAGCCCUAAGAACCCUGAACUUUUCGCCGACCGUGCUCAGGCCAAUAUCAAACUCAACUACUUCACUGAAGCUGUUGUUGAUGCGAACAAGGCCAUUGAGUUGGAUCCUACAAUGUCAAAAGCAUAUUUACGCAAGGGGUUGGCCUGUAUGAAGCUUGAAGAAUACCAAACUGCAAAGGCAGCUUUGGAAAUUGGUGCCAGUUUAGCACCAGGAGAGUUAAGAUUCAGUAAGCUAAUGAAAGAAUGUGAUGAACAUAUUGCAGAGGAAGCUGGCGAAUUGCCUAAUCUGUCGGUGGAUAAAACCUCAGCUAGUGUUGUUGCACAUCCUGCAUCUGAGUUACCGGACAAUGUUGCUAUUGCGCCUGAAGGUGCUCAACCAACGGUCAACCAGUCCCAUCAAGGAUCUGCUGCCAAACCAAAAUACAGACAUGAAUUUUAUCAGAAACCAGAGGAGGUGGUGGUGACUAUAUUUGCCAAGGGCAUACCAGCCAAGAAUGUUGUUGUUGACUUUGGUGAACAAAUACUUAGUGUUAGCAUUGAUGUGCCAGGUGAAGAAACUUAUUCUUUCCAGCCUAGGUUGUUUGGCAAGAUAACACCUGCAAAAUGCAGAUACGAAGUGAUGUCUACCAAAAUUGAGAUCCGCCUUGCGAAAGCUGAGCUGUUACACUGGACAUCGCUUGAGUAUACAACGGAACCUGUUGUAAUUCAGAGGCCUAUUGUGUCAUCAGCUGCCCCGCGGCCCAGUUAUCCUUCCUCAAAACUGAGAAAUGUAGAUUGGGAUAAACUAGAAGCUGAAGUGAAAAAAGAGGAAAAAGAUGAAAAAUUGGAUGGAGAUGCAGCAUUGAACAAAUUUUUCAGAGACAUUUACCAAGAUGCUGACGAGGACACUAGAAGAGCUAUGAUGAAAUCCUUUGUGGAAUCUAAUGGGACUGUUUUGUCGACAAACUGGAAAGAAGUUGGCACAAAGAAGGUUGAAGGAAGCCCUCCGGAUGGCAUGGAGCUGAAGAAAUGGGAGAUCUAGAAUCGAUCCUCUGUUGAUGUUUUUUGACUUUGCAUUUUAAGUUGUUUCAUUGCUAUUUUUAUUAUAGAAGAAUUUGUUCAUAUUUUCUUUUCUAAGGUUUUAAGUUUUGUUCUUUGCUGUUGGAUUGAGAUAACAGUAAUAUAUCUUCAAAUUG
rnacentral:misc_RNA from 1 species